GAGCAAAUCUGUAGCACUACAUAGCAAGUUCCUGUACCACGUGUUAACGAGUCUCGCAUGUUAAAUAGGUAGCACUGGGAGGCAUGGCGCUACCGCGCAUUAAACAGAUUCGCGCAUAAAUGGGUCUACACUGUAACAACAUUUGUGUG